rnacentral:lncRNA from 1 species
CCAAAUCCACUCACAAGGCUUUGGUUGGCCCGAGGCUAUAGUAGAAGACACUUGCCCAAGGUGCCAUGCAGUGGGACUGAACCUGGAUCCAUGUGGUUGGUAAGCAAGCUACUUACCACACAACCACCCUUGCGCCUAUGUGCAUGUUAUUUAAGAAUAACAACAAAUGCAUAAUCUCAAUUAGAUACCCUGAGCAGAGUCCACUCUGUUACAAGCAUUUGAAACAGGUCUCUGGUCUAAGAUCAAUUUUUUUCCUUCCUCUGAAAAAGAUCAUUUUAACUGACUUUCCUCCUUUGAUCAAGCUAGUUUAAAUGUUUACUGUUCAUAUUAAUUGAUGGGUGGCAGCAUCAGGUAGAAUCAAUAGAGCAAUAAAGAAAGUGCUUUGUGUUAUUCAGUUAGGUCCCUUAAUGUUCUCCAUGCAAAUCUUACUAAGGUCAGUUUUGCAUUUUAAAUUUUCAUGACUGAUACUAGAGCAUGUACCAGUCAAAUACUCAUGGUUCAUUUAAUUAUUUUAUCCUGUCCUUAAAAUAUGUGACAUUGAGUUUGAUGUUAGAAAUCAAUAUUGUUUAUAUUACCUAUUAAUCUAUUAUAUAUUCCUACCAUUUGGGUUUAAGUCUUGUCUGUACAUUCAAUCAAGAUGUAAUUUCAUGCUUUUUUUUUUGUACAUUAAUUAAUGAAACCUAUGUUUACAUAGAUUUAUACUAUAAUAAUAAUAAUAAUGAAAUUAUUGUAUACAGUGCUCAGGUGCACCACAACUUGUCAGAAAGUGCAUAUAAAGUACAUGCAGUAAUGUAAAAAUGUCUGGAAAGCGAACAAUGUAUGAGUCAGAUACAUGCCCAUGUGUGUAUGGAGGGGAGAAAAUCAGGUGUAGUGUUGGCGAAUCUCAGAAAGCAUGGAAGUUUUGAAGGAUGCAGUGCUCCGACAACUAACAACUGAUGCCAGCAGUUUGUUCCAUGCAACUCUCAGCGUGAAAAAAUGUUUCCUGAAGUCAUGGGAGCAGUGCUGUUUUCUGACUUUGUAAAUAUGUCCAGACAUGUUCCAUCUCAGAGACAUGAAAUUGAUAUCAAAAUAACUGGUCAAUACUGCACACAUAUAUUUGUAUCUUAAUUUGAGAAAGAAAAUUAUCACCAAACCUCAGGUUGAUGUAAAUGGUAGUAUGUUUGUACAGUAAGCUAGAGAUGCAGUGUUCAGUUUCUGUCAGUGGGUUUGCUAAGUUUUCAACUUCAAACUGUUGCUCAUAAAUGUAUGUUGCCUAUAAUAUGCAGAUGCACACAUUUGAAUUUAUAAAUUAGCAGGGAAAAUGCUCAAUACAUACAGUAGAAUUUAUUCAUUUAUUUCAAGAUGAAGUUUUCUUUUGGUGCUGUUUUGCACUUUUCACUUUGAUUAGAAUUCAAAGUUUAAGUUAUAAAUUCCAGACCUUACAUUGUCCCAAGAUAUGUAGGAACAGCAACCCUGUACAUAAGUGGUUCAAGAAGAUAUCUGUUGUGUCUGCCUAAGAAAGAAUAAUAAUAUUCUUACGCAGCUGUACAAAAUAUUGAAUAGGAAAUUCAAAAUUAUGUUAAAAUGUAGGUACGAAAAUAAGCAUCUUCCAGGGCCAUUUCCAAUUGCAAAUGGGUUAACAUUUGAUGAACGAAGCAUAUAGCAUCAUCACUCUGGCAACCUUAUACUGAAUCUCUCUCUCUCACACACACACAUAUAUGGGGAUGAUGUGUGUGUGUGUUCGUUUGAUGAUAAUCUACAAAUCAUCAAUGGCUCCCACCUGAUUAGACAGUAUAUCAACAAGAUUUAUAUCACUGAUUUCAAUAAGUCUAAACCCUAACUUUAACCUCAAACACCACAAAUAACUUAGAUUGGCCAUGUCUCUUACACCUGGGAAUGGCUAUCAGCUGAAGAUCUUAGGAUGUCAUAAAGUCUAUAAUUUAAACUUUGGAUUUCAGUUGCAGUUGAGAGCAGAAAUCCAGAAUAGCAGUAAAGGGAACCCUUCAUAUUUAUAUAUGCCUCAAUCCUUUACGGAUCCCUUGUAAUCAAAACUACAUAUCUUUAUAUAUAAAAGAGAAGUUGUGUGUCUGUCUCCUACGAUUUAGAUUCCUAACUACUCCCACAUUUUGCGGUACAGUUUAACCAAAACCGGGUAUCUUAUAGUCGUGAUUCAUAUCAAGCCCUUCUGGGUAUUAGUAUGAGUCUACGAUUUAAAAAAAAAUUUACCAUCAUUUUUUACCAUUUUAAUGCAUUUUUUUCGCUAUUAUAUAAGGGAAGUAACUCUCUAAAAAUGUCUACGAUGAGUCAACGAUUUAAAAAAAAAUUACCAUAAUUUUUUUUCCAUUUUUAAUGCAUUUUUUUGCUAUUUUUUGGCUAUAACUCUCUAAAAAUGCUUAUAUAGUUAUUUCCCUUACAAACCCGAGCAACGCCAGGCGAUACUGCUAGUUUGGAAUAAAUGAGUGUGUGCAUAAUAUAAUGAAAUAUAUGUUUGUGUAUUAAAGAGUAUUGAAUAGAUGUGCUUGUGUAAUACUCAUAUGUAUAUGCACACACACACAUACUGAAGAAAAUGUCUAACCUUUUUUUAGGUAUUUCAUUGUCCAAAUGUUUACAAGCUCAAUAAAUCCCUUAGGUUUUCUUUGUUCCAAUAUUCUCUAUGGCUUGUUGAGUCCUGCUCUGAAUCCUUUUUGUGAUUUUUAUCCUGAAGAUAGAGAAUGUGGUCUGGGAUUCUAGAGGUAAUUAGUGAAAUUCUUGUGGCUGUAAUUAGCAUCUCUGGGAGAUUUAAAGUGGAAUUAUUUAUAAAACUUUAUUUAUUUCAGUAUGUAUACUCUUUACUCUUUUACUUGUUUGUCAUUUGACUGCGGCCAUGCUGGAGCACCGCCUUUAAUCGAGCAACUUGACCCUGGGACUUAUUCUUUUGUAAGCCCAGUACUUAUUCUAUCGGUGUCUUUUGCCGAACCGCUAAGUGACGGGGACGUAAACACAACAGCAUCGGUUGUCAAGCAAUGCUAGGGCGACAAACACAGAUGUACAAACACACGCACACAUAUAUAUAUAUAUAUAUAUAUAUAUAUAUAUAUAUAUACGAUGGGCUUCUUUCAGUUUCCGUCUACCAAAUCCACUCACAAGGCAUUGGUCAGCCCGGGGCUAAAGCAGAAGACACCUGCCCAAGGUGCCACGCAGUGGGACUGAACACGGAACCAUGUGGUUGGUAAACACACUACUUACCACACAGCCACUCCUGCGCCUAUAUGUGUGUAUAUUUAUAUAUACUCACAAAUAUUGUUUAAUUAUAGUUUCAUCUUUCAAAUCCUCAAAAUAAUACUAUUUCUGAAAAUUCAAGAAGUGUAACUACAGUUAAAUAGUAUCCUGAAAUAUAUUCAUCUUUAUCUUUUGUGUUUGUGUGUGUGUGUGUGUGUGUGUGUGUGAGGGGUGGGGAGGGAAAGAGAGAGAAAAAGUAGGGGAAAUAUUGUAUAAUUUUCAUGGCUUAUUUAACAGAGCUCAAAUCCUAUCCUGGGUAAUAACUUGUUGAAGCAUAUUCAUGAAGGUAAUAAUAGAGGUAUCCAGUUAUAAAUGGCUGCAAUCUGUAUGUAAUGGAUUUUAUUUGUCAUGUCUUUCUUGUGAUAAAUAAAUAUUGAGUGAGUGAUUUGUAAUCUUAUUUGAACAGUAUUUUCUCCCUUUCUUCUGUUGAGAUUUAAUUGAAAAACUAAGAUAUUAAACAAUAUCUGUUUUGUGCACAAUACAACAUAAAUUGAAACGGCUGAAGCACAUUCAAAUAUUUCGAGGCUCACAGUGAACCUUUGUAAUAUUCAACUUCAUUUCAUUUUUUUUUUAAGAUAUUUAAAGAAGAAAUUCCUUGGACUGAAACUCUAUCAUUAUAUUAUCAUUACACACUUCUUCAUCUUCAAUAUAAUAGGGCGAUAUUAUUAUUAUCAUCAUCAUUAUUAGCACUGCCAUACUACCAAAGACCGAUUCUUUGGAUUUACUCCUGUCGAUUUCCUGGCAUUAACAUUUCCUGCCAGAACUGAAACAAUAAAAGAUCAUCAAACAGCCAAGAAGUGUGAAAAUAAAAUUGAAAUGCUUUUUUUUCUUUUUCUUUUUUGUUACAAAUUCAACACCGAUGUUUUCAUUUUUAAUAACUUUUUUUUCAAUUUUAACACCAAAGUCAGAAGUGCAGCAUAUUUAUGAUUGAUAGGAAGAAGGGAAGAAGUUAUCCACGAACCAGAGACCUGUCCUGAAUAUUUAUAACAGAAAGGUCCCUGCUAAAGACACUCAAUGGUCAUGUGGUGGGAAACUGGGCAAUGAAUUAAGUUUACCUCUCAAGAACAAGAACAGUUUGUCUCUCUCUUUCUCUUGCUUCCAUGCAGUUUCCAUCUACCAAAUUUCACUUACAAAGCUUUGGUCAAUCUGCGGCUAUGAUAGAAGACAUUCUUUCAAAGUACUUUGCAGUGGAAUUUGACUGGAAAUCACAUAGUUGAGAAGCAAACUACAUAACUAGUUAGCCAUUCCUAUAUCUAAAAUAGAGAAACAUUUUUUGAAAUGGAAAAUUGUUGAAACAGAAGAACUUUGGGAAAUAAAUGAAUUCUUUUGGUCCUUGGUAAUAAAUUCAAGAACAGAAGUGUCUUUUUCUUUCUCUACAUCAGUUAGAAUCUAUCUUGAAAUCUGGGAAAUGCUCCAACAGAUUGUAACUUAUUCUGCUAAGGAAGCCUUUCAGCAUUGUAUUAACUGUGAUAACUAACACAAGCUACAGAACUUAGAACCAACUAUGGAGGAUAAUAAUAAGAAAAAAAAGAUUUCAUUUAUUUCUUUUUUUGUUUUUAACAGCCUAUGGCAUUUUAAAUUGGGAACACUGUUGUUUGCAGGUUAUAUUGACUAUCCAUAAGGUUGACAGUCAUAUUUAUAUGUUGGUGUUUGUUAAAUCUCCGUUCUUCAACUUUUUAUUGAUCUGGUAUUAUUUGAUACUGUUGUGGGAAUGACAGAGAACCAGAGUACAUGCAUCAUCAUCAUCAUCAUCAUCAUCAUCGUUUAACGUCCACUUUCCAUGCUAGCAUGGGUUGGACAGCUCAACUGGGGUCUGGGAAGCCAGGAGGCUGCACCAGGCCCAGUCUGAUCUGGUAGUGUUUCUACAGCUGGAUGCCCUUCCUAACGCCAACCACUCCAAGAGUGUAGUGGGUGCUUUUUACAUGCCACCGGCAUGGAGGCCAGACGAGGCUGGCAACGGCCACAAUCGGAUGGUGCUUUUUAUGUGCCACCGGCACAGAGGCCAGUCGGGGUGGCGCUGGCAACGGCCACGUUCGGAUGGUUCUCUUACGUGCCACCGGCACUGGAAUCACAGCUACAAUUUCCAUUGAUGUUGAUCGAUUUCGAUUUUCACUUGCCUCAACAGGUCUUCACAAGUAGAGUUUUGUGUCCCAAGAAGGAUAUUAAUGUUUAAUUCCCACCCUUUACAUUCUGAGUUCAAAUACCAUUGGAAUCAAAUUCUACGUUCUGUUGUUUCAGCAUUAAUAAAAUAAAAUACUAGGGCUACUUCAGUCAGUUAUCUGUACCCCUCCUGCUAAAUAUAUAUGUGGCCUUGGAAUAGAUCUGUCUCCUAAACAAGGAAGAGAUCUGUCAUUCAGCAGACUAAUACUAUAAAAAUAGAACUAAGCACUAGCCCCUUAAAAUAACCCUAGGUGCUUUGGAGGCGUAUAUUUUUACCUUGUUCUUGUAAAUAUGCUGCUCUUUCAUUCAGGACUUAAAUGUAUAGUUUAAAUGUGUAUUAAUCCUUUUAAUACCAACUUGCCUGAUACUACACAUAUGUCUUGCAAACAACUUGCACAUGCAACUGGGGUCUGGGAAGCCAGUCAAAAGCUCCGUAUACCGGAAGCCAGCAAGUGUAUGGGGUCAUCAGGAGAGAAUGCACGCCGUUUCGGGGGCCUACCUCUCGACAGCAUCAAUGCGCACUGGCCCCCCUCACUGAUAUGAGGCCCCGCUUGCUAGAUCAGCUGGUUCUAAAGUUAAACUCAAUAUCCUUCUAGCCAUCGCUCAUCGUCUCUUUUUAACCAAAUCCAGUGGCUAGCCUUUAUUUAACUUGCAUUAUAUCAAAAUUUUGUUACAAUAAAAUCUUGAGUUAAAAUCUAAUGAUAACAUGAAUGAUAAUGAGAAUUUCCAGUAGAUCAACACCAACAUAAUAUAUACCAAUAUGUAAUAAAAUUACAGAUAUUUUAUUUAUCCCUCUCAAAUUUUGAUUAUAUGAAAAUUAGUUUCUAAAACACAGUAAACAAUCUACUCAAAAAUAAUAUAGUGACUAAAAAGAUAAAGACAAUAGAGUAUUUCUUAAGAUAAAUUUAGUUUCUCCACUGAGCAGUAGAUCAAGUGAUUAUGUAGACAUAUGUACUGUUUUGUCUUAACUGAUAUAUAGUGUUUAGUAGUGAUACCCUUGUUAGGAAUGAAACUGGUUAUGAUGAACUUUAUAAAAUAUUGACAAUAAGUUGAAAUAAAUUUCUUGGUGUAACAGAUAUAGAAAACAUGAAAUAGACAGAAAUAGUGUAGAAGUGUUAGAAAACAUUGUAAAUAAUAAUACCCUUGUGCGUGUCGAAUUUUAUAAAAUUGAUUUAGCUGGUGAUAACAUGUGAGGUGGAGCUUGAGUGCUGCAAAAAAAAAAAAAAAUGAUUAGGUUUGGGAGUUUAGUACUCACUAUGAAGCUUCUCAUGUGGAAAAAAAUCUUUGUAAAAAAAAAAUAUUAAAAAAUGUAUUUAGCAUUCCUGAUUCUACACCUGUAUGUAUGAAAAUGUCUACAUUCCCUCUAAAUGCACUGUGAAACAUUUUAUUUCCAAUUCAAGUGAUAUUAAAUCUUUCAAAACAAAAAUAUGAUCCUUGUUAUUAUUAGAGUGGAAGAUGGCAGAACUGGUAGAGCAUCAGAUAAAAUUAUUUUUACUUUUUAGUUACGUCUUUUUACAUUCUCACCUGAGAUCCAGUUGAAAUUAACUUUGCCUUUCAUUCUCCUAAGUUUGUGGAAAUAGUACCAGGGUUGAAUGAGUCAACUAUAUCUCCUCCCAAUUAUUACUAUUAUUAUUAUUAAGGUGAGCACUGGAGCAUCAGACAAAAUGCUUAGCAGCUUUUCAUCUGACUCUUUACAUUUCAGAGUUCAAAUCCCACCAAGAUCAACUUUUCCUUUCAUCCUUUUAGGGUCAAUAAAAUAAAGUACUAUCGAGGAUUGGGGUCAGUGUAAUCAAUUAGCCCUUGCUGGACUUGUGCCUAAAUUUGAAACCUUAUUAUUAUUGUUAUUAUUAAGGCAGCAAGCUGGCAGAAUCGUUAGCACACUGGGCAAAAUGCUUAGCGGUAUUUCACCCAUCGCCAUGUUCUGAGUUCAAAUUCUGCUGAGGUCAACUUUGCCUUUCAUCCUUUCAGAGUCAAUAAAUUAAGUACUGGAGUCAAUGAAAUCAACUCAUCCCCUCCCCCAAAAUUGCUGCCCUUGUGGCAAAAUUUGAAAACAUUAUUAUUAUUAUUGUUAUUAUUAUUAUUAAGGUGGCAAGCAGGGAGAAUCGUUGGCAUGCCGGGCAAAAUACUUAUCGUCAUUUUGUCAAUCUUUAUGUUCUAAGUUCAAAUUCCACCGAGGUUGACUUUGCCUGUCAUCCUUUCAGGGUCAACAAAUUAAGUACCAGUCAAGUAGUGGGAUUGGAUGUGAUUGACUAUUUCCCUCCCCACAAAUUCCAGACCUUAUGCCUAUAGUAGAAAGGAUUAUUAUUAUUAUUAUUAUCAUCAUUAUUAUUAUUGUUAUUAUUGUUUGGUAGAUUGGAAGAAUAGCUAAAGCAUAGGAGAAAAAUGUCUUGUAUUUCUUUCUAGCUCCUUAUAUUCUGAAUCCAAAUCUCACCCUCGUUAACCAUGCUUUUCAUCUUUUCAGGGGUCAGUAAAAUAAAGUUACCAGAAUUUAUGUAGUUGACUGACCCCUCCCCCUAAAAAUUGAUGACCUUAUUCCUAAAUCAGAAACCAUUAUUAUUUUGUUGAUCUCAACCUUUUACUUGAUGUCAAUCCUCUCCAUCUCUUGCUACCUUUCUUUUGUAUUUCACCUUUAAAUCACCAACAUCAUCAUCAUCAUCGUCGUCAUCAUUAUUGUUAUUGUUUUGUUGAUGUAACCCUUUUACUUGAUGUAAAUCCCCAAUUGUUUUCUUUUGCAUUUCUUCAUUGUACUCUUCCCCAACAUUUUGGGCUCUUGUGGCCAAUAAAAAAUUGUUGUACUAUUUAUUAUCAGCACAGCUGGUUUCAGAUUUUGUAGAAAACCUGAAAAAUGUAGCCUCAUGCCAUGUUAAAAAUUAUUUUUUCUAAUGUUGUCAUUAGGCUUUUGGGUACUUCUUCAGAAUCACCCCCACUCCCACCCCCUGCCACCUAUAACUUUUGAACCAGUAAUUUUUUUUUUUUUUCAGAUUCAUAUGUUUUUGCUAUUGGAGAUAUCGACCCCCCCACCAAAAAAAAAACAAAAUUGCUGUCCUUAUGGCAAAAUUUGAAAAAAUUAUUAUUAUUAUUAAGGCAGCAAGCAGGGAGAAUCGUUGGCAUGCCAGGCAAAAUACUUAGCAAAACAAAAAAAAAUUUUUUAUUUCAACUGUACAUAAUUCUAUGUACUGUACACGCACCUUUGAUGAAUUGUCGUGCACCUGAGCACUAUACACAAUAAUUUCAUUAUCAUCAUUAUUAUUAUUAUUAUUAUUAUUAUUAUUAUUAUUAUUAUUUUGUGUGUGACAGCAUGUCUUGUCAGCUAAAUAAAGCAAAUAAAUUGGUGGGGAAUUUAAAUUUAAAAAAAUUUUUUUUUUUGCUAAAUGAUAAUUUCUAAUAUAGAAAACAUAUAAAUCUGAAAAAAUUUUUUUUUUAAAAUUACUGGUUCUAAAGUUAUAGGGUGGAGGGAGAAUUCCAAAGAAGUACCAGCUUUUGAAUUUGAUACAAUAAGUUCCAGUACAGCACUGGGGCAAGGUCGAUAGAGUUUACUGUACCUUUCUGUCUAUGUUAUAAAUCAUUAUUCUAAUUGUUAUAAGGGCACCAAAACAGCUACAGAAUUGUAAGAGCAUCGGACAAAAUGCCUUGAGGUAUUUCUUCCAGUUCUUAAGGCGGCAAGCUGGCGGAAGCGUUAGCAUGCCAGGCGAAAUGCUUUGCGGUAUUUCGUCUGCAGUUACGUUGUGAGUUCAAAUUCCGCCAAGGUCGACUUUGCCUUUCAUCCUUUUGGGCUCGAUAAAUUAAGCACCAGUUACACACUGGGGUUGAUGUAAUCGACUUAAUAUCUAUGUCUGUCCUUGUUUGUCCCCUCUAUGUUUAGCCCCUUGUGGGUAAUAAAGAAAUAGGUAUUUCUUCCAGUUCUUUAUAUUCUGAGGAUAUGAACUUUGCCUUUCAUCAUUUUGGGAUUGAUAAAACAAAAUAAAAUAAGAUACAAGUCUAGUACUUAGCUCAAUAGCAUCAACUAACCCCUUCCCUCAAAACUGCUCGCCUUGUGCCUAAAUUAGAAGCAAUAAUUAUAGGGGCAAUAGAUUGGCAGAAUCAGCACAGCAUCAGACAAGAUUCCUUGUGUUAAGUUAUGUCUUUUUUUUUUUUUGUUCCAAAUUCAGAUCUUGAUAAGUUUCACUUUCUCUUUCUGUCAUCCAUUGAUAAAGUAUAUACCAGUCGCAUACAGAGACCUACUUAAUCAGCUGUAACCCUCCCUUAAAAUAGAAAUGAACAGUUUUCCAUAAAGGAAACAGUUUCAUACGAACUGAAAUUCCAGGAAAAAUUUGUUAGUCAUAAAGUAUUUUCCAAGAAGUAAUUCCAAGAAUGGAGGUGUUGAUAUGAAGAUCCGACAUGUCCAUUCUUUGAUUUACAAAAUAUAUAAGACUGACUUGUUGAAUGUAUCCUUUCCUUACUUAAGACAGUAGGAUGAUAUUUGAGCGUGAUUUGGCUGCUAUUUCUUGCAGGUCAAGCAACCAUGUAGUGGCUCCCAGGAUUGACAAAAUAAUCAUCAGAUAUCUACAGGGUUGAUGAUUAAAUUAACUCUGUCCCACCCUGCUACUAAAAAUGUGUGGCCUCUGUCAGUGUUAAGAGUUACUAUUAUAAAAGUUGUGGAUUUUAUAAGAAACCUUGUUGGACUAAAAAAUAUCCUCUGUAAUGUUUUGGUUGCAUGGGUUUGAGGAAGGGGUGUUUUAAUAAACCGAGUAUCUGUGAUAUGCUGGAGUUGAUUGAUAUAUGUCCCCUUAUGAAAUUGGCCCAAUACCUAAAAACAUUAAAAGUUGAUAAUUUGUUUUAUCAAAAUUCCUUUUUUUAAAAUUCAUUUACUCUCUCUCUCUCUCUCUCUCUCUCUCUUUAUCCCAUCCUAUACAUACAAUAAUAUCCAUAUAUAUAUAUAAAUUUGUUGAAUUAUUUAAUGUGAUAUGUAUACAUUAUUUUGUUUAUAUUUUUUGAUUUUGAAGUAAUUUGUUUUGUUUUGUUUUUUCCAAAGUUAUUGCUUGUUGAAAAUUAUUUAAUAUUUAAGUUGAAAUAUUGCUUCCCCCCACCCUUUUUUUUUCCUCUUGUGAAUUUUUUUUUUUAUUAUCAAUUAAAUAAAUAAAACAAAAGACAUUUUGCAAAGGAAAACGAUAAGGCAGAACAAAGAUGGAGUAAAAUCCUGAUUCUAAGGAAACUGAUGAUGAGUUGACAACAUUAGCAGCAACUGAUCUGUUGGAGAGGACAUAGAAGAGCUUGGUAUUAAGUCCAUUGAUUGUGAGAAGUGAGGAAUCUGUUUUGGUUCCUUACUUCUUGUCUCAGGGCAGUUGAAGGUUAUCAGACUCCACCUAGAACUCUCCAAUAUAGUUUAAUUAGUCUAGGAAGUAAACUGGCAGUGUUGCUAAAUUGACAGAUGAAUUCAGUUCUGACCAAGAUCAACUUAGCUUUUAAUCUUUCCGGAAAGGAUAAAUGAAAUGCCAGUCUCAGGAUUUACACUGGCAGAAUCAUUAGGGUGUCAGACAGGAUGUGUUGCUGUAAUUUUACAGCUCUUUCCGUUCUGAGUUCAAAUCUUGUCAUGGCUUACUUGGAUGGUAGACUUAAUCCAGUGCACAGAUUAACACCACUACCUGGUCCACUGGUGCCUUUAACGGGGUCCACUCUGUUUCAAGCAUUAGGGCCAGAUUUCCAGUUUAACCCUUUAGCAUUCAGAUUAUUCUGUCAAAUGUAAAGCUUAUGUAUUCACACCAUGUAAAAUUAAUCUUGUAUCAUUUCAUGGCUUUGAGAUUUCAAUGAUGUGAUUGUUUAUUUUUAAAAUGACACAAUAAGAUAGCUAUGAAUGACUAUAUCUGACUAGGUUGAACAUAAAAUAGGUAGAAUAUUUUGUCCAGAUAUGGCCGGUUUAAACACUAAAGGGUUAAAGAUACCUUCCUCUCUCCUUACUUUGUAAGGGAUCUUAAGCACUGCCUUUUCUCUUAAGGAUAAGUGAAAGAUGUUGCUAAGUCAUAAUUAGUGAAGUCAAGGGUAAUUUAAGCUAGCAGCCAAAGUGCUCAACAGUUUGCAUAAUUUCACCAGCACAGCAUUGUAAAUGAGAUCAUGACAAUUUUAUUCUUGAAUUGUCCAGUUCACCUAGCUCUAAGAACCAUGUGUGGUAAAAUAUACUGUUGUGAGCAGUAAGAUGACAAAGUAAUUUUGAAGUGUUUUGUUAGCUUACAGUAUUAAGUUUAACUCCUAUGAUCAUAGUUUAACAAGGGAUACUCUACUUGUACUUACCCCUUACAUAAAGACAGUUUUCAAACUAUGCAUUUAUGAGCACAGUGGGUUAUGGUAUUCACACUUACAUUAAUAGAGCUGCCUCAAUAUCCAUGUGUGUGGAUGUAUAUGUUUAUAUGCAUGAAUGAGUGAGUAGUGAAUACAAUUCCAUUUAUUUUGCCAUUGGUCUAUUGACAAAUGUUUUGGAUUGAAGAAAAAAAUAAGUCAAGGUUUACAAAUAUGUAACUGAAGUCUUCCUGAUACAGAAAAAAAACAAAAAACAGAAAGUACAAUUUAAAUUAAUUCCAGUUAUAUUCAGGAACAAUAAAGGAACAUGUGAAUAAACUUUUGUUUUCCAUA